GGCCUCUCUCCUAUGGGGCUGUGGGUAGUCCUUUUUCUCCUCAGCCAGGGCUGGAGGCCAACAUCAGCCCUUGAGGAUCAUUGUCAGGACUGCCACAAGCUGGGCAGCCUUGUUUUCCUACCUCAGACAUUU